GAGUUUGAUCAUGGCUCAGGAUGAACGCUGGCGGCGUGCUUAACACAUGCAAGUCGAACGGAGAUAUCAUUUUCGAAGCGAUUAGUUUACUAAGAGCGGAGAUGUUGCUAUCUUAGUGGCGGACGGGUGAGUAACGCGUGGGUAACCUGCCUUGCACUGGGGGGAUAACACUUAGAAAUAGGUGCUAAUACCGCAUAACAGUAGGAGACGCAUGUCUUUUACUUGAAAAUUCCGGUGGUGUAAGAUGGACCCGCGUCUGAUUAGCUUGUUGGCGGGGUAACGGCCCGACCAAGGCGACGAUCAGUAGCCGACCUGAGAGGGUGACCGGCCACAUUGGGACUGAGACACGGCCCAAACUCCUACGGGAGGCAGCAGUGGGGAAUAUUGCACAAUGGGGAACCCUGAUGCAGCAACGCCGCGUGAGUGAGAAGUAUUCGGUAUGUAAAGCUCUAUCAGCAGGGAAGAAGAUGACGGUACCUGAGUAAGAAGGCCCGGCUAACUACGUGCCAGCAGCCGACCGG
rnacentral:rRNA from 1 species